UAGAGUUUGAUCAUGGCUCAGGAUGAACGCUAGCGACAGGCUUAACACAUGCAAGUCGAGGGGCAGCGGGGAGGUAGCAAUACUUCCGCCGGCGACCGGCGCACGGGUGAGUAACACGUAUGGAACCUGCCCGUAGCAGGGGGAUAAACGGAAGAAAUUCCGUCUAAUACCGCGUAAUAACUCCGAGAGGCAUCUCAUGGAGUUUAAAGGGUAACACCGGCUACGGAUGGCCAUGCGGCGCAUUAGCUAGUUGGCGGGGUAACGGCCCACCAAGGCGACGAUGCGUAGGGGUUCUGAGAGGAAGGUCCCCCACACUGGUACUGAGACACGGACCAGACUCCUACGGGAGGCAGCAGUGAGGAAUAUUGGUCAAUGGGCGCGAGCCUGAACCAGCCAAGUCGCGUGAGGGAAGACGGUCCUAUGGAUUGUAAACCUCUUUUGUCGGGGAGCAAAAGACGCCACGUGUGGCGUUCCGAGAGUACCCGAAGAAAAAGCAUCGGCUAACUCCGUGCCAGCAGCCGCGGUAAUACGGAGGAUGCGAGCGUUAUCCGGAUUUAUUGGGUUUAAAGGGUGCGCAGGCGGAAGAUCAAGUCAGCGGUAAAAUUGAGAGGCUCAACCUCUUCGAGCCGUUGAAACUGGUUUUCUUGAGUGAGCGAGAAGUAUGCGGAAUGCGUGGUGUAGCGGUGAAAUGCAUAGAUAUCACGCAGAACUCCGAUUGCGAAGGCAGCAUACCGGCGCUCAACUGACGCUCAUGCACGAAAGUGUGGGUAUCGAACAGGAUUAGAUACCCUGGUAGUCCACACAGUAAACGAUGAAUACUAAUUGUUCGGGGAGAAUGAUCCCUGAGUGAUACAGCGAAAGCGUUAAGUAUUCCACCUGGGGAGUACGCCGGCAACGGUGAAACUCAAAGGAAUUGACGGGGGCCCGCACAAGCGGAGGAACAUGUGGUUUAAUUCGAUGAUACGCGAGGAACCUUACCCGGGCUCAAACGACACAGGAAUACUUUUGAAAGGAGGUAGCUCUACGGAGUCUGUGUCGAGGUGCUGCAUGGUUGUCGUCAGCUCGUGCCGUGAGGUGUCGGCUUAAGUGCCAUAACGAGCGCAACCCCCAUCGCCAGUUACCAGCAAGUCAAGUUGGGGACUCUGGCGAGACUGCCGGCGCAAGCUGUGAGGAAGGCGGGGAUGACGUCAAAUCAGCACGGCCCUUACGUCCGGGGCGACACACGUGUUACAAUGGCAGGUACAGAGAGAAGCAAUGCGGCGACGCAAAGCGGAACUUGAAAGCCUGUCUCAGUUCGGAUUGGAGUCUGCAACUCGACUCCAUGAAGCUGGAUUCGCUAGUAAUCGCGCAUCAGCCAUGGCGCGGUGAAUACGUUCCCGGGCCUUGUACACACCGCCCGUCAAGCCAUGGAAGCCGGGAGUGCCUGAAGUGUGCAACCGCAAGGAGCGCCCUAAGGUAAAACUGGUGACUGGGGCUAAGUCGUAACAAGGUAGCCGUAA
rnacentral:rRNA from 1 species